rnacentral:rRNA from 1 species
UCGAGAAUCUUCCGCAAUGGGCGAAAGCCUGACGGAGCGACGCCGCGUGGAGGACGAAGGCAUUAGUGUUGUAAACUCCUGUCACGAAUUAUGAAUGCGUCACGGUGAACAGUCGUGGCGUUGACGUAAGUUCGAGAGGAAGCACCGGCUAACUCUGUGCCAGCAGCCGCGGUAAUACAGAGGGUGCAAACGAUGUUCGGAAUCACUGGGCAUAAAGCGCGCGUAGGCGGCCUGUUAAGUGUGGAGUGAAAUCCCACGGCUCACCCGUGGAACUGCUUCGCAUACUGGCAGGCUCGAGGACGGUAGGGGAGAGCGGAACUCUUGGUGGAGCGGUGAAAUGCGUAGAUAUCAAGAGGAACACCAAUGGCGAAGGCAGCUCUCUGGUCCGUUUCUGACGCUGAGGUGCGAAAGCUAGGGUAGCGAACGGGAUUAGAUACCCCCGUAGUCC